UACGUAGGGUGCAAGCGUUGUCCGGAAUUAUUGGGCGUAAAGAGCUCGUAGGCGGUUUGUCGCGUCGAAUGUGAAAACCCGGGGCUCAACCCCGGGCCUGCAUUCGAUACGGGCAGACUAGAGUUCGGUAGGGGAGUCUGGAAUUCCUGGUGUAGCGGUGAAAUGCGCAGACAUCAGGAGGAACACCGGUGGCGAAGGCGGGACUCUGGGCCGAUACUGACGCUGAGGAGCGAAAGCGUGGGGAGCAAACAGG
rnacentral:rRNA from 1 species